GCAUAUCAAUAAGCGGAGGAAAAGAAACCAACCGGGAUUACCUCAGUAACGGCGAGUGAAGCGGUAAAAGCUCAAAUUUGAAAUCUUCGGAAUUGUAAUUUGUUGGCCGAGAGCAGUGAGGCUUUAAAGUCUGCUGGAACGCAGCGCCAUGGAGGGUGAUAGCCCCGUCGGCACACACAAUAAGCUCUCGCGCCUAAGAGUCGGGUUGUUUGGGAAUGCAGCUCAAAGUGGGUGGUAAAUUCCAUCUAAGGCUAAAUAUUGGCGAGAGACCGAUAGCGAACAAGUACAGUGAUGGAAAGAUGAAAAGCACUUUGAAAAGAGAGUGAAACAGUACGUGAAAUUGUUGAAAGGGAAGGGUGUGAAGUGGGGUGCAGAGAUGCGCAGUAGUGAGUCAAACCUUUGGCGGCUUGCGACUACGUGUUUUUGACCCACUUCCCACCACCCGUCUUGAAACACGGACCAAGGAGUCUAACAGUUGUGCGAGUAUUAGAGUUUGAAACUCGGAUGCGAAACGAAAGUAACUGGUCAAGCCUGCCCCAAGACUUUGUUCUUGGAGGAAGCACAACCGUUGGGACCCGAAAGAUGGUGAACUAUACCUGGAUAGGGUGAAGCCAGAGGAAACUCUGGUGGAGGCUCGUAGCGGUUCUGACGUGCAA
rnacentral:rRNA from 1 species